CAAGCCUGAUCCAGCCAUGCCGCGUGGGUGAAGAAGGCCUUCAGGUUGUAAAGCCCUUUUGUUGGGAAAGAAAAGCAGCCGGCCAAUACCCGGUUGUUCUGACGGUACCCAAAGAAUAAGCACCGGCUAACUUCGUGCCAGCAGCCGCGGUAAUACGAAGGGGGCUAGCGUUGUUCGGAAUUACUGGGCGUAAAGCGCACGUAGGCGGACUUUUAAGUCAGGUGUGAAAUCCCGGGGCUCAACCUCGGAACUGCAUUUGAAACUGGAAGUCUGGAGAUCAGGAGAGGUUAGCGGAAUACCGAGUGUAGAGGUGAAAUUCGUAGAUAUUCGGUGGAACACCAGUGGCGAAGGCGGCUAACUGGACUGAUACUGACGCUGAGGUGCGAAAGUGUGGGGAGCAAACA
rnacentral:rRNA from 1 species